rnacentral:rRNA from 1 species
CAGCAGCCACGGUAAUACAGAGGGUGCGAGCGUUAAUCGGAUUUACUGGGCGUAAAGCGUGCGUAGGCGGCUUUUUAAGUCGGAUGUGAAAUCCCUGAGCUUAACUUAGGAAUUGCAUUCGAUACUGGGAAGCUAGAGUAUGGGAGAGGAUGGUAGAAUUCCAGGUGUAGCGGUGAAAUGCGUAGAGAUCUGGAGGAAUACCGAUGGCGAAGGCAGCCAUCUGGCCUAAUACUGACGCUGAGGUACGAAAGCAUGGGGAGCAAACAGGAUUAGAUACCCCAGUAGUCCCUGUCUAUUAUAA